rnacentral:rRNA from 1 species
CCGUGAGGGAAAGAUGAAAAGAACUUUGAAAAGAGAGUUAAAAAGUACGUGAAACCGUUAAAAGGGAAACGAAUGGAGUUAGCAAUGCACUCUGUAAGAUUCAGCCGGCUGGUGGCUCGGACGGACAGUUUGCGGAUCUGAAUGGACUGCUGCUGUUCGGCUCGUGCCCCCGACCGUCGCACUUCUUGCGGGUGCGCGUCAACAUCGGUUCGGACUGGGUUUUAAAGGCUUAGGGAAGGUAGGUCGAGCGUCUCGGCGCUCUUCUAUUAUAGCCCUYCGCUUUAUGGCUCGGSCCGGACCGAGGAGCCGCAGCGCAUGCCUCUUCUGGCUAGUUUUCCGUAGCGCCGGUCGGUUGUCGAUCGUGGUGGACUGCUUGCAGUGCGCCCAAACUGCUGCCGGUCGCCGUUGCGGUAACUUCAUACCAUGCGCUCAGGAUGUUGGCGGUCAUAUGGCUUCAUCCGACCCGUCUUGAAACACGGACCAAGGAGUCUAACAUGUGCGCGAGUCUUAGGGUGAUUGAAACCCCAAGGCAGAAUGAAAGUGAAGGCAGCCUAGCUGCUGAGGUGAGAACCUCUCCUCCGGGAGUGGCGCAUCAUUGACCGAUCUAUUCUACUCUUAGGAAGAUUUGAGUAAGAGCGCAUCUGUUGGGACCCGAAAGAUGGUGAACUAUGCCUGAAUAGGGUGAGGCCAGAGG